AUGUGUAUCAAGGAGCAGAGUUCAAGUGGUGCCUGGUCACCCGCGAGGUCAGUGGUGACCCGAACAACGGUGGCGGUGAGCUUCAACAAGAGGCACAAGGAGAAGGCGCUCAAGGAAUACCUCCCGUUCAUCGUCGCCACGGCCAAGGCCAUCAAGGACCAGGAGAGGAGCCUUAGCAUCUACAUGAACGAGCGCUACGACGAGUGGUCCCCGGUUGGCCUCCAGCACCCCUCCACCUUCGACACCCUCGCCAUGGACCAUAAGCAGAAACAGUCAAUUGUCGACGACCUUAACAGGUUCAUCAAGAGGAAGGACUACUACAGGAGGAUCGGCAAGGCACGGAAGCGCGGGUACCUACUGUACGGCCCUCCGGGCACCGGCAAGUCCAGCCUCAUCGCCGCCAUCGCCAACCACCUCAGGUUCGACAUCUACGAUCUCGAGCUCACCGGGGUCGACUCCAACUCCGAUCUCAGGAGGCUUCUUGUCGGAAUGACCAACCGGUCCAUUCUCGUGGUUGAGGACAUCAACUGCACCAUCGAACUCAAGCAGCGGGAGGAAGAAGACGAGGAGCAAUCCAAGUCCAGUUCUACAGAAAAGAAGAAGGCGGAAGACAAGGUCACACUGUCUGGGCUGCUCAAUUUUGUCGAUGGCUUGUGGUCGACAAGUGGGGAGGAAAGGAUCAUCAUCUUCACCACCAACUACAAGGAGCGUCUCGACCCGGCACUUCUGCGGCCUGGCAGGAUGGACAUGCACAUCCACAUGGGGUACUGCACCACGGAGGCUUUCCGAAUUCUUGCCAACAACUACCAUUCCAUCGACUACCAUGCCACCUAUCCAGAGAUCGAGAAGCUGAUCGAGGAGGUGACGGUGACGCCUGCAGAGGUUGCCGAGGUCCUGAUGAGGAACGACGACACUGAUGUUGCGCUGCAUGAUCUUGUCGAGCUCAUAAAGUUAAAGAAGAAGGAUGCGACUGAGAUCAAAACUGAAAGUAAGAAGACAGAGAAGAAAGAUGCCACUGAUGACAUCAAGAUUGAGGCUACGCAGGUGGAUGGGAAGAAAGAUGGUGGUGAGAUCAAGACUGGAAGUGUGCAGGUGGAGGAGAAGAAAGAUGACAAAGAAGUGGUGGUGAAGAAUGUUUUCACAGAAAACAGAAGCAGUUAG
rnacentral:rRNA from 1 species